UCUUGCCUAACAAUAAGCCAGCAGAGGUGAGCUCAUAUACCUGUACUAACAUCCUAACGAAGAGAAAGGUACAAAGACAGUCAGUCAAGUUUCGGCGACCACCGUAACUAGAACCUUUAACUGAGGAUUCUUUUCACAUAGUUUGGUUCUUCAAUCCCCAAGAAUGGGCUACUUCAAUUCUUACGUUUUUCUAGUGCUGGUUAUGGUUGGUACAGCACUUGCUGGGGACAUGCUGCGCAAGUCCAUUGUUUAUGAUAAAAAUACACCGGAUGUUUUUUACUGUCCCCAAGAAAAACCGACUGGAUUCGACAACAUGAUUGUGAAGGCACGGUCAUUGAAGAAAUUAUGCGAAUUCGAAGGACAACAGCUUCCUAAACACUACAAAAGCGAUUGCUACAAUGACGUCGAUGAGACUGAGUUCGCUUGCAAGGAGAAGCAUCGCAUCAUGAGAUUAAAAGAAGCUAGUGAAUCUGACAACUCGAUUGCGGAUGCGUACGAAUUAUAACUUCUUCGCGGACAGAAACCAAUUUGCCAUGUAUCUACAAACAACUAAUUAUCCUAACACUAACUCGAAACGUCUGAACCCUCCUGGCAGCGAAAACAAUAUUGACUUUCAUUUGGAAGCUCGCAAGAUUAAAAAACUAAAAGAUUUCUAAGUUUUCGUCUUAUCUAAAAAUUUGUCGUUUAUUGUGGAACUCAUCCUACCCGUCGUAACGGCAAGGUCGAUCCGGCCCGAGCGGUCCUCGUCUCAGCAUUGACUCAUAACGGCUCAUAACGUUAUUUUUACCUUUAAUGUUUUAAUAGAAGUGCAAUAAAUUUUCCAUAACCGCCACUUGAUAAAAAAAAACACGUUACCAAUUGCUGCUGUCAAACCCAUGUAACGAGUACUAAAACUAUGUGCUUCAUUUGAUGAUUUUACAUACCAGUUUGCGCUAGUUGCAUUGGUUACGUUGAAAAUUGUCAGAAGUUUUUUAAUCUGAAGCCAAGUCUGGCUGCGUAUAAAAUCUGCCGAAAAUAUAGAAUGUGCUUCUUA